UCCCUCACAAGAAACUGAAAGCUAUUUUUCAUUUCAUUUUUCUUCAGCAGCAAUGGAAAAUCGAAGGAGAGGAAGGUUUCUGCAAAUUCAAAAUCCUUUCAGAAUAAAUGGUCUCAAGAUUAUUAAAAUGAUGCUGGAUUCUUCUGAGGUGACUCCAGGAAGUACUCAUUUGGUGGAUGAGCUGCUCCACAGCAUCUUCUUUCUGGGAAAGAUCAACCAAGUCCCGUUCACUCCAGAGGAAAUCAUCGGUCAGGGCAUGGUGGAAAGACUGAGUCAGCAGUACCCUGGGCCUUUUCAACACUAUUUAGAUCAAGUUCCCAAACGAAGUCCGUUCUCCUGUGUGAUGGACAUGGUCGUCCUGCAACAAGGACAAGAGAGAGAAGAAGAAAUACGGCAGAGUCUGACUAAGCUUGUGGGAAAUCUGAAACCAAAGUUUCUGGUCUCUUCCACCAUCUGUGUCUCUUGGGAGCAGACAAGUCCAGCGAGGUAUUAUGGAGUGUCCUUGUCCACCUAUGGUCCAACAGCCAGAAAUAUUGUGACAGCUGCUUCCUGUUGUAGUGUUUGGGAUGAUUAUGUAGCUGGUGCAGUGAUGACCUAUUACCCAGCUAACAUCCAGAAUGAACCCAAUGGAGCCAUUAGACUUCCAGAUAAUGUCAGGUGCCAGGCGUUUGAUAUCCGCAGUGGAAGUGAAAAGAAUCCUUGUCUAUCAUGUGGAAAUAUGUUUGGUUUAUACACAGAGGAAACAGAUGAGUUUCCCUAUGGUAACUGUGCUGAAACAGAGAGUGUGAGCAAUUUGUUAAAACGUGAGGCAGAAGUUAGAGAGAACACACAACUACAAUCUGACGCAUACACGGCUGAGAACAGGCAGAUGGCUAGAGAGCAAGUGAGAAACAUACUAAGCGAAUUACUACAGGGUUUGAACAUUAACUGGGAUGGAAACUUCUACAACCCUGCAGUAUAAGAGCUUUAAACACGGGAACCACUGAAAUAAAAUGUUUUUUAUUACAAAGUGGUCUCAGAUAUUUAAUAAACUUCUGCAUUAAUGAAAGAUGCUCCACUGUUACAUCAUAAGUAAGACAUGACUGUAGCCAGAAUCAACAUGGAUUAUCAUCUUAAAUUGUUAAUGCUUCAGUAAUGUGAUGUGCAUUAGUGUACUUAGUGAAAAUGAUGGUUAGACUACACUCAUGGCAGCAACUGUAAGUUGAAUGAACAUACAGAAGAUGCAACAAGUUGUGUAGAUCAUAUAAAUAUCAAUAAAAUCCAACUGUGAUAAUAACAGAGCUUCAUGAUUUAUUUUGAUAUCAACUACUAUACAAAUGGGUUUUGGGGUGUAUAUGCAGGUAACUACAUAUAAGUAUUAUGAAACAGUAGUUUGCUGGAAGGCAUCACAUUUAUUUAAACCCUCUGUGUUGUCGUUUCCGGAUCAUGUUUUGUGCAUGCAGCACUCUUGAGGUUAUUCUGGAUAAAGUUCCAGAUAGUGUUUAGACAGUUUUGGCUCUUCAGUCCGCUUCUUUUUUCAGCCUGCAUUAUGGACUUUAAGUUAACUAAAUAAUGGACACAUUCCAAAUAAAAUUUCUGUGGUGUAAAGUGACUUUGUACAAUUUUUUUUUAUUAUUUUUUGUGGUUUAUUGCACGUUUUAGUAAUUUAUUUAGUUAGUAUGAACUUAUUAUGGACAAAUUAAAAUUAGUGAUAUAAAGGUUGCAUUGAUGUAUGGCAAAUUAAUAUGCUCCAAAAAAUGGCACUACACCAUAUAAAAAUGUAAAGAUAUGCUCUGGCAGACUUGUUCUAUGGUAGGUUUUGGUCUAUAUAAAUAAAAUGGUCUAGUUUUACUUGUAUACACUCAUACUAACAAGAAAACGCUGUGCUUUUGUCAAAUGAAGAAAGCAGAUAGGGUGCGCUCUCUGUCUGUCGUCUCUCUUCACAGACACGUAAAUAAAACAACCAGAAUCUCAGCAAAUACUUGUCUCACAAAAAUAAAAAAUAUAUGGCUAGAAAGCUUGAAAUGUUUUCUUUUAAAUGAAACAAUUCAAGUCGAAAGUCCCUUUUUAUUUAAUCCCUUUUCUCAGGUGAAGCACAUGUUUAUUUAUGAUCAGACACACCUUCCUGCAUAUGCCCUUUCUAAACAAAAAGUGUCUUAGAAGAUUUAAACCAGUGUGUUGUUUUCUGUGAAUGAAUGAACAAGAUGACUUUCACAUCACUUCAGACUUAAGCCAUUAAUGACACACUCACUACCCGUGGCCCCACCCCAGUAGAUAAAU
rnacentral:lncRNA from 1 species